GCGGGGGUCGCAUAGCCUGGCCAAUUGCGCUGGGUUUAGGACCCAGUCCUUAGUGGUUCGCCGGUUCAAAUCCGGCCCCCCGCACCA
rnacentral:tRNA from 1 species